rnacentral:rRNA from 1 species
AACACCAGUGGCGAAGGCGGCCUUUCUGGACUGUAACUGACACUGAGAUACGAAAGCGUGGGUAGCAAACAGGAUUAGAUACCCUGGUAGUCCACGCCGUAAACGAUGAGCACUGGGUGUCGGACUCGCAAGAGUUCGGUGCCGGAGCAAACGCAUUAAGUGCUCCGCCUGGGGAGUACGCACGCAAGUGUGAAACUCAAAGGAAUUGACGGGGACCCGCACAAGCAGCGGAGCAUGUGGUUUAAUUCGAAGCAACGCGAAGAACCUUACCAGGACUUGACAUCCCACUGAAAGCUCGGUUAAAACUGAGCCCUUCUUCGGAACAGUGGAGACAGGUGGUGCAUGGUUGUCGUCAGCUCGUGUCGUGAGAUGUUGGGUUAAGUCCCGCAACGAGCGCAACCCUUGCCGUUAGUUGCCAUCAUUAAGUUGGGCACUCUAAUGGGACUGCCGGGGAGAACCCGGAGGAAGGCGGGGAUGACGUCAAAUCAUCAUGCCCCUUAUGUUUUGGGCUACACACGUGCUACAAUGGCCGUCACAGAGGGAAGCGAGAGAGCGAUCUUAAGCGAAACCAAAAAGGCGGUCCCAGUUCGGACUGCAGGCUGCAACUCGCCUGCACGAAGCCGGAGUUGUUAGUAAUCGCGGAUCAGAAUGUCGCGGUGAAUGCGUUCCCGGGUCUUGUACACACCGCCCGUCACGCCAUGGAAGUUGGGGGUGCCCAAAGUCGGUCAAGAAGAGGUCGCCUAAGGCAAACCCAUUUUCUGGGGAAGUCGUAACAAGGUAGCCGUAAUUUU